CAGAGCCCGGCCACGGAGGUGCUGAGGAAGAAGUUCACCACUUUCGUCAAGUCCCUGGGCUUGACAGACGAGUCCAUUGUGUUCCUGCCCAAGGCCGAACAAUGCAUCAAUUACCACUGAUAGCCAGGAGACCCCAGCCCUCGGGACCGGCCAUCUUGCCUCCGCCAGCACACUGAGCUCCGGCCACGCAGCCUCUGCCCCAGUUCACCCCGCUAUCUGCACCCC